GACGAACGCUGGCGGCGUGCCUAACACAUGCAAGUCGAGCGGAGCCAAUUGUCAGAUCCCUUCGGGGUGACGAUGAGGAAGCUUAGCGGCGGACGGGUGAGUAACGCGUGAGUAACCUGCCUGUAAGAGGGGGAUAACACAGAGAAAUCUGUGCUAAUACCGCAUAUUGAAUGUGAACCGCAUGGUUUACAUUUGAAAGAUUUAUCGCUUACAGAUGGACUCGCGUCUGAUUAGCCAGUUGGCGGGUAAAGGCCCACCAAAGCGACGAUCAGUAGCCGACCUGAGAGGGUGACCGGCCACAUUGGAACUGAGACACGGCCCAGACUCCUACGGGAGGCAGCAGUGAGGAAUAUUGGGCAAUGGGGGGCAACCCUGACCCAGCCAUGCCGCGUGAGUGAAGAAGGUUUUCGGAUUGUAAAGCUCUUUCGGGUGUGACGAUGAUGACGGUAGCACCUAAAGAAGCCCCGGCAAACUUCGUGCCAGCAGCCGCGG
rnacentral:rRNA from 1 species